CACACACGCACUCUCUCUAACCCCUUCCACCCUUCACACCUGUAGUCCUCAGGUUUGGGGCAGCUUCCUUGGACCCUGAUUUCUUGAAAAUUGGAUAAAAUGGUUCCAACAGGGGAAAUAAAGGUCCUGCCUCCAUCUUGAGUUCUACUUGGAAUAUGAAGCCCCGUCUGCAGAGGCGAGGCGGUGGGAUUUCUUGCUUCCAGCCUGGCAAAGAAGCUGCCAUUGAUCGGGGAGGGAGGGGAAUAAACCCAUCUUCCCCUCUCAACAAGAACGACUAUUUCAUGAAGAUCUGGAUGACUUUGACGGGGCCUUGGCCAUUUAUUUGGCCCCAGUGUGGGGCUGUGCUAUUUCACCGAUCUCCAUGGAGUUGAUGCAGGUAUUUACCAAGAUGCCUCUACGAGUCACACACAAGGGACACCAAGGUGGACAAGACACAGUCCCUCUCCUCAGGGAGUUGAUAAGGCCAUGGGAACAUAGACAAGUAAACAGGUGAUAAAGGCCAUUAUAUAAUGGAGUAUACUGCAGAUCUUAAAAACACAAGUUGCAAAGGGUACCUUUGCUUUAAGAUAAAUGCAGGAUAAAAAUUGUAUAUACUGCUCUAUGUAAAAACAUUUAAAUAAAAAUAUAAAUAUUGAUAAAUAAUAUGCACGACAUC
ensembl:lncRNA